GGGGUAUAGGGAAGGUAGGGGAGAGGAGGGGGUAUAGGGAAGGUACGGGAGAGGAGGGGGGACUUACUCCAUGUCAGGCAGCCUCCAAGUCUACCCUCACCAACUGACCGUGUAAUCUGAUUCAUUAUGAUAUAGGAUCAGGACCCUCCUCUCCAUGUAAUCUGAUUCAAUAUGAUCUAGGAUCAGGUCCCACCUCUCCAUGUAAUCUGAUUCAUUAUGAUCUAGGAUCAGGUCCCCCCUCUCCAUGUAAUCUGAUUCAUUAUGAUAUAGGAUCAGGUCCCCCCUCUCCAUGUAAUCUGAUUCAUUAUGAUCUAGGAUCAGGUCCCCCCUCUCCAUGUAAUCUGAUUCAUUAUGAUCAGGUCCCCCCCUCUCCAUGUAAUCUGAUUCAUUAUGAUAUAGGAUCAGGUCCCCCCUCUCCAUGUAAUCUGAUUCAUUAUGAUCUAGGAUCAGGUCCCCCCUCUCCAUGUAAUCUGAUUCAUUAUGAUCAGGUCCC
rnacentral:lncRNA from 1 species